CUCUGUUACUGGCAAGACCUUUGAUACCCGGCAAGUUGCACUGCUGAGAGGCAGGGGGAGACAUGUGUGCCAAAGGGAGGUCCUUUCUGUGCUUUGUUGUCCUGUGAGAUGUUAACCGGCAGGAGGAAUGUGUACCUUUUUGGAAAACAAUCUGGCUGUUGAGUUCUGAUUGAAGAGGAGGCACACUGCAAUAUGCAGGCAUGAGAUACUUGAGCAGAAGAUAAUGCUUGCAGCCGUACUUUUAACAUUCAAUUUCAGUGCUGUCCAGAAAAACUGUAAAACUGGGGAAAGACUAUGCCCUUAAACUUAUACCCUACACUGGAAAAGAAGGUUUGAAGUGGGUGCACAUUGACCAGCAUGAAAAGCUGUUGUGCUCAAAGAGAAUAAGUUCCCUGGAUUCUUGGAACAGGCUGACAAGAUCUUUGCUCUCUGCUCUGUGUGGUUGCAUAUAUAUGCUACCUGUCCUACCUACCCUAGAACAUGUCUGCUAGCUACCAAGGUGAGCUUGAAAUCAGCACCUGCAUUUGAACUUUGGGAAGACUGCCACUUGCUCCUCACCAGUUCUAGUUUGGUUUCUGUUACUUCAUCCUCCAGAAUGUGCAAAUGUUUAAUGAAAUAUUACACCAAAGACUCAUAAGCAUCAGUGAAAUCUCUCAACUAACCAGCCGCCUUAUUAGUGAAAGAGUCAGCAGCAACCCGGACCAUUGGCUUCCAAAUGGUUUCUGAUGAGAACAUAAGCCAAGAACAGGACCCAUGACUUCAGUAGGGUCACAGAGCCAGACAAGACCUUCAGAGGCAGCAGGGAACACAGACGUCAACAUGGCUUCAGACUCCAGCACAGACCUUGGCCAGCUACAUGGGCUAUGGACAUCAACACAGAUCCUAGCUGCCAUAGGACCACAGGCCCCAACAUGGCCCUUGGUGGCAGCACAAGUGCAAACAUCAGCAUGGCCCCAGGUGGCAUCACAGGCCACUCAGUAUGGCCCCUAGCAGCCAAAUGGCCCAAGGAUAACAACAUGGCUUCAGGCUGCAGCGCAGACCACAGACAUCCAUAUGGCCAUUAGUGGUAGCACAGGCCACAGAUAUGAGCAUAGACCCUGGCUGCGAUAAGACCACAGACCCACACUUGGCUUUCAGUGGCAGGAUGGUUUACCUUUUAUCUGAGUCACAGAGGUUCAGUCAAUGUUUGUUGUUAUAUGACUCAAAAAUCCAAGGAUCCCAAAAGGUUGUUGUUAAUUUCUUACAAUUUGAAAGCUAAAGAGGUUCAGAGAACAUUCUCUGUUUUCAUCCUAGAUCUGGACUCUAGAUAUAUCAUACUCUUAGUUAGCAGCAGCCCACAGUGUUAAUGUAUGAAAGAACAGUAAUGUCUUUCUAACUACUGUUCUGUUACAAUACUUAACAUAUGCUUCCUUACUGUGCUUUCCUUUAUGGAUGUGUAAUGUGUCUGGAGACCGAAACAUUAAGCUACCUUACUUCAACUCUUUGCUUACAAUCAUAUUUCAGAGUAAAUACUUUACUCCAUAAUUUGCCGUUCAAUAUUUUAAUUGUGAUUUUCCAAAAUAGGAAGGAAUCCCUUUAAACAGGGAUCCUUUUCACCUAUUUUGAUUUAAAGAUGUAUUUUCCUUUAAUUCAACUUUUAACAACUGAGUUUUAUUUGCAGAGUGAUUGCUUUACAAUUGAAAGGGUAAUGAAACACUGCCUUUCAAAACAAACAAGUUGUUAGGGAAUUCCUGCUCUUGAUGCUACAAAGAUGGACCGUUCAGGCAUCAUCCCAGUGACCCCAAGUUGCUCUCCUGAGGCUCCUGGAGAAGGAAGGGCGGCAGGGCAUUGUAGCUAGAAAUUCAUGUACAAUGGUGUCUUCCCAGUCCCUGAAGGAAGGCUAAAACCCUAGUCCUUUAGUGAGCACAAGUUUACACAUGUAGGUUUGCUGCUGAGUGCUGACACAUUGCGGAAUUGAGAUGUGUGGUUGACACCGUUGAAGGCUUACCAGAGUGCUCGUGCCAGUGUGCGAGCUUCCGUACGCUAUAACUUGCCCAUUUCCAAAAAGACUAAGAGUGAACAAUUUGAAGAUGGUUUUGUGUUGUACAGUGGAGUGCUAGUGGACAUGGGUCUCAAUUGUGAGUUUUUUUUUCUUGUCCCCACUUUUGUUGGAGCUGACUGUGUGCCUCUGACCUUUACUUCUGAUCAUGUGGUAAUGCUAAACUUUUCUUGCAGAUAUAUUUGUCAUUGUAUUCCUAGAGUUUACAUUCCUAAGAAUAAACAUGACGCUGGGUAUUUUUAUGUGCUUUCCAUGUUUUUAAGGUAUGAAAUAAACUGGAGUUGAGUUUUUGAAGUUUUGUACAUUUGUAUAAAUGUUCUUCAUAUGCAGUACUUUAUACAUUGUGU